UUGCUUUUUCUGCUGCUACUGAGGGGGUGUGACCACUGUCUCUGUACACAGCACCUCUGUUCUUUCUCACCUCUUUAAACAAUAAGAUGAUUCUUCUAUCACCUAGAAUAAUGUGUGGAGCAGACUAUCUCCAAACUAUGUUUGUUUUGAUAAAACAUUCCUCUUUUUCAGUCUCUAUGUUCUUCGUGUCCUUGGUACAACAUAGCACCUCUCCUGAUGCAUCACACUGAAUAAGAUAAAGAUGGACUGAACAUCUUAAAGUAAACCUCUGAAUUUUUGAAGUGAUCUCAAUAGGAUGAUGGUUCUUCAUACAGAGACAGAUUAAAU
rnacentral:lncRNA from 1 species